GUGUGUGGACAGACUCAGGCUUGUGCACCUGCACACAUGUGUGCAUACACAAACACAUACACAUGCACGCAAGAAUACAUA
rnacentral:miRNA from 1 species